ACCCGGGUAGCUCAAUUGGUAGAGCGUGAGACUUUUAAUCUCAAGGCUAAGGGAUCGAGACCCUUCUCGGGUG